rnacentral:tRNA from 1 species
GGAUCGGUAGCUCAGUUGGUAGAGCGUUCGACUCUUAAUCGAAUGGUCCUCGGUUCGAACCCGAGCCGAUCCACCA